rnacentral:rRNA from 1 species
GACAGAGGGUGCAAACGUUGUUCGGAAUUACUGGGCGUAAAGCGUGUGUAGGCGGUCUCGAAAGUCGGAUGUGAAAGCCCCGGGCUCAACCCGGGAAGUGCACUCGAUACUGCGAGACUUGAGUGUCGGAGAGGUUGGUGGAAUUCUCGGUGUAGAGGUGAAAUUCGUAGAUAUCGAGAGGAACACCGGUGGCGAAGGCGGCCAACUGGACGAACACUGACGCUGAGACACGAAGGCGUGGGGAGCAAACAGG